GAAUGGCUCGGAUUUGAUGGGCCAUUCAACUUAUAACAGGCUCCGAAGUGACCUGUAACAGUGCCAAAAUGCGGGAAUUAGCCACCUUGGUGGUGAAACCCGCAGCUGAUCACCGCGUCAGUUCAACGACUAGAUGGUACUGGCUGGUUCGUUCCAGUUAAGAUAUAGUCUCUCACCGGGGGUAAAUCCCAGUGCUUCACGGCAUUAAAU
rnacentral:ncRNA from 1 species